rnacentral:pre_miRNA from 1 species
AAUGGAAUUGCUGAGUUAUAUGGUAAGUGUGUUUAACUUUUUGAGGAACUGCCAGACUGUUUUCCAAAAUGGCUACACCAUCUUACAUUCCCACUAGCAAU